AUGAACGCUGGCGGCGUGCCUAAUACAUGCAAGUCGAGCGCACGGACGAGAAGCUUGCUUCUCUGAUGUUAGCGGCGGACGGGUGAGUAACACGUGGAUAACCUACCUAUAAGACUGGGAUAACUUCGGGAAACCGGAGCUAAUACCGGAUAAUAUUUUGAACCGCAUGGUUCAAAAGUGAAAGACGGUCUUUCUGUCACUUAUAGAUGGAUCCGCGCUGCAUUAGCUAGUUGGUAAGUUAACGGCUUACCAAGGCAACGAUGCAUAGCCGACCUGAGAGGGUGAUCGGACGAACUGGAAAUGAGACAGGGUCCAGACUCCUACGGGAGGCAGCAGUAGGGAAUAUUCCGAAAAGGGCGAAAGCAUGACGGAGCAACGCCGCGUGAGUGAUGAAGGUCUUAGGAUCGUAAAACUCUGUUAUUAGGGAAGAAAAUAUGUGUAAGUAACUGUGCACAGCUUGACGGUACCUAAUCAGAAAGCCACGGCUAACUACGUG
rnacentral:rRNA from 1 species